rnacentral:lncRNA from 1 species
GGUUGCCUUGUGUUGCUUCGAUGGCUUUCCAGCGGUCAUGUUUAGAUGCAAUGCAUGCUGCAUCAGGUCGAUUCAGGUGUGCAUAUGUUUCCUCGCCCCUCCCCCUAGCCUAUUGUCUCGGUCUUUACUUGCUAGAUUUGGUGGAGGUUCUGUCAGAUCUGGUGGGGGUUCUACCAGAUCUGGCGGAGGUUCUGCCAGAUCUGGCAGUUCUUCCUCCUUGUGGCUCGUCUCCGGCCAGUAGUGAGUGGGAUUCCGUCGUUUGAUUUUCCUCCCCGUUGAUUAUGUCGCUGAUUUGGUCAUUAAUUGUCAGCUCGUCUCCCGUCGCUAGUGAAUUUUGGAUUUGGUAAUUGGUCACUUAUGCUUGAAGGCUUCUUGUUUGUGAUGGUGUAGACGCCAUUUUCUGUUUCAUAUCUUCCUCAGAUUGUGCGGCAAUUCCCGAUUCAGGUCAUCGGUCGUGAUGGUUUUCAUCACCGGUACUUUCCUGUGCUCUUGCUCCCCACCAUUUGGUUCUUGUCCACCUCCUCGGCCCCUCUUCUAUGGCUUUGGUAAAGUCCGAUCUUGUAGCAUUGGAAUGGCCAUGGAUUUUGCAAGAAGUGUUGUCUUAUGGUUGGUUGUUGUUUGGUCCUUAUGGUGCUUGUCUACCUAAGUCAUUGUCGCCGUAGGUCAUCGUGGGUGUUUAGGUCGUGUUGUAGUUGACCAGUGUUCAGGCUCUUGCAUCAGAUGUUUAUCGCUUUUCAUGUUGUAUGGCAUACUUUUGCUCUACCUUAGGUUGGGUUUGGUCAUCUCUUGCUUGUGGAUCUUGAUCCUUAGGUUGUUUAGAUUCUUCCUUUUGGGUUGUGCCUCUUUGGUGUUGUAUGGUACGCGCCUUCUUUGCCAAUGUAUCAUUUUCCUCUCAUAAUGAAUUGACAUGUAGCUCUCCUGCUAGUUCAGGAAAAAUGAUUAUAUGACUUAGCUUACUUCAUUUUGGUAUCAAAAUAAAAGAAUCAUAGAAUUCUGCAGUCUUCCAUUAGAAGGAUUCUUAUAAAAUUUUUUCAUGGAACUCCCGGUCUAAAGUCUCAAAUAUGGUAUAAGCAACUCUAGAGGGUGUUAUAGCUUCAACAAGAUCUAUGUGGGCCUUGUUUGGAGCCACUCCUAUAAAUUCAUAUUUGUGUAGAAUUAGGUUGUCUAGUUUCUAACCAUAUAUUGUAAAACACAUUGACACACUCAAUAAAUUUGGAAAUUUUAACCAGGUUUCUCUUCAUAUGGCAUUAUAG